AACUAAAUGUAUCCAUUCAAAUGAUUGAAAAGAUUGUUUUCCCUUUUUAUGAUUCUAUUCUUUGUAUGAUUCGCCUUUGCAUUCUUUGGGAGCUUGCCGACAACUACCGACAAGUCUCCUUGCCGCGUUCAGUGCAACCAUAGAAAUCGCCAAGCGCAGCUUGAGACGAAAUCAGGCGAUGCAUAGCCGCUUGCUCUGUUGAUCGGGUUUGAAAUAGUUUGAAGACGAUCUGUGUCCGUUCAGGUUGUUUGAACGAGUUCGAAACAAAGACAAGGUGCACUGAUCUUUGGAAAGGUCCCAGUAUGCGCAGACUCCACACACAAAGAUCAGAAACUUUUAAAGGGAAAACAGAGAACCUAUCUACUUCAGAUCUGAAUCUUAAACUUGAAACUUAUCUGCUCACGCCGCGGUUGCAUGGUGUUUGAAU
rnacentral:lncRNA from 1 species